CAAAUUAUAGCAUAUAUAAUGCUUUUUAUUUACACUAAAAAAAUAAUACUCCAAGUAUUUAAUUUGA
rnacentral:tRNA from 1 species